UGCUGCAGACCCGAAACGAAGUGAUCUAUCCAUGAGCAAGUUGAAGCUAGUGUAAGAACUAGUGGAGGACUGAACCCAUAGGCGUUGAAAAGCCCCGGGAUGACUUGUGGAUAGGGGUGAAAGGCCAAUCAAACUUCGUGAUAGCUGGUUCUCUCCGAAAUAUAUUUAGGUAUAGCGUUGUGUCGUAAUAUAAGGGGGUAGAGCACUGAAUGGGCUAGGGCAUACACCAAUGUACCAAACCCUAUCAAACUCCGAAUACCUUAUAUGUAAUCACAGCAGUCAGGCGGCGAGUGAUAAAAUCCGUCGUCAAGAGGGAAACAACCCAGACUACCAGCUAAGGUCCCUAAAUCUUACUUAAGUGGAAAACGAUGUGAAGUUACUUAAACAACCAGGAGGUUGGCUUAGAAGCAGCCAUCCUUUAAAGAAAGCGUAAUAGCUCACUGGUCUAGUGAUUUUGCGCGGAAAAUAUAACGGGGCUAAAGUAAGUACCGAAGCUGUAGACUUAGUUUACUAAGUGGUAGGAGAGCGUUCUAUUUGCGUCGAAGGUAUACCGGUAAGGAGUGCUGGAGCGAAUAGAAGUGAGCAUGCAGGCAUGAGUAGCGAUAAUUAAUGUGAGAAUCAUUAACGCCGUAAACCCAAGGUUUCCUACGCGAUGCUCGUCAUCGUAGGGUUAGUCGGGUCCUAAGUCGAGUCCGAAAGGGGUAGACGAUGGCAAAUUGGUUAAUAUUCCAAUACCAACAUUAGUGUGCGAUGGAAGGACGCUUAGGGCUAAGGGGGCUAGCGGAUGGAAGUGCUAGUCUAAGGUCGUAGGAGGUUGUACAGGCAAAUCCGUAUAACAAUACUCCGAGAACUGAAAGGCUUUUUGAAGUCUUCGGAUGGAUAGAAGAACCCCUGAUGCUGUCGAGCCAAGAAAAGUUUCUAAGUUUAGCUAAUGUUGCCCGUACCGUAAACCGACACAGGUGGGUGGGAUGAGUAUUCUAAGGCGCGUGGAAGAACUCUCUUUAAGGAACUCUGCAAAAUAGCACCGUAUCUUCGGUAUAAGGUGUGGUUAGCUUUGUAUUAGGAUUUACUCCGAAAGCAAGGAAACUUACAACAAAGAGUCCCUCCCGACUGUUUACCAAAAACACAGCACUCUGCUAACUCGUAAGAGGAUGUAUAGGGUGUGACGCCUGCCCGGUGCUCGAAGGUUAAUUGAUGGGGUUAGCAUUAGCGAAGCUCUUGAUCGAAGCCCGAGUAAACGGCGGCCGUAACUAUAACGGUCCUAAGGUAGCGAAAUUCCUUGUCGGUUAAAUACCGACCUGCAUGAAUGGCGUAACGAGAUGGGAGCUGUCUCAAAGAGGGAUCCAGUGAAAUUGUAGUGGAGGUGAAAAUUCCUCCUACCCGCGGCAAGACGGAAAGACCCCGUGGACCUUUACUACAGCUUGACACUGCUACUUGGAUAAGAAUGUGCAGGAUAGGUGGGAGGCUUUGAGUAUAUGACGCCAGUUGUAUAUGAGCCAUUGUUGAGAUACCACUCUUUCUUAUUUGGGUAGCUAACCAGCUUGAGUUAUCCUCAAGUGGGACAAUGUCUGGUGGGUAGUUUGACUGGGGCGGUCGCCUCCCAAAUAAUAACGGAGGCUUACAAAGGUUGGCUCAGAACGGUUGGAAAUCGUUCGUAGAGUAUAAAGGUAUAAGCCAGCUUAACUGCAAGACAUACAAGUCAAGCAGAGACGAAAGUCGGUCUUAGUGAUCCGGUGGUUCUGUGUGGAAGGGCCAUCGCUCAAAGGAUAAAAGGUACCCCGGGGAUAACAGGCUGAUCUCCCCCAAGAGCUCACAUCGACGGGGAGGUUUGGCACCUCGAUGUCGGCUCAUCGCAUCCUGGGGCUGGAGCAGGUCCCAAGGGUAUGGCUGUUCGCCAUUUAAAGCGGUACGCGAGCUGGGUUCAGAACGUCGUGAGACAGUUCGGUCCCUAUCUGCCGUGGGCGUAAGAAGAUUGAAGAGAUUUGACCCUAGUACGAGAGGACCGGGUUGAACAAACCACUGGUGUAGCUGUUGUUCUGCCAAGAGCAUCGCAGCGUAGCUAAGUUUGGAAAGGAUAAACGCUGAAAGCAUCUAAGCGUGAAGCCAACUCUAAGAUGAAUCUUCUCUAAGCUCUCUAGAAGACUACUAGUUUGAUAGGCUGGGUGUGUAAUGGAUGAAAGUCCUUUAGCUGACCAGUACUAAUAGAGCGUUUGGCUUAUCUUUAAUAAAGCAU
rnacentral:rRNA from 1 species